rnacentral:rRNA from 1 species
UACGUAGGCAGCGAGCGUUGUUCGGAGUUACUGGGCGUAAAGAGUGCGUAGGCUGUGGUCCAAGUCUGGUGUGAAAUCUCCCGGCUCAACCGGGAGGGUGCGCCGGAAACUGGGCUGCUUGAGUGCCGGAGAGGCAGGCGGAAUUCCUGGUGUAGCGGUGAAAUGCGUAGAUAUCGAGAGGAACACCUGCGGCGAAGGCGGGUUGCUGGGCUGACACUGACGCUGAGGCGCGAAAGCUAGGGGAGCGAACGGG